rnacentral:rRNA from 1 species
UGGGGAAUAUUGGACAAUGGGCGCAAGCCUGAUCCAGCCAUGCCGCGUGAGUGAUGAAGGCCCUAGGGUUGUAAAGCUCUUUCACCGGUGAAGAUAAUGACGGUAACCGGAGAAGAAGCCCCGGCUAACUUCGUGCCAGCAGCCGCGGUAAUACGAAGGAGGCUAGCGUUGUUCGGAUUUACUGGGCGUAAAGCGCACGUAGGCGGACUAUUAAGUCAGGGGUGAAAUCCCGGGGCUCAACCCCGGAACUGCCUUUGAUACUGGUAGUCUUGAGUUCGAGAGAGGUGAGUGGAAUUCCGAGUGUAGAGGUGAAAUUCGUAGAUAUUCGGAGGAACACCAGUGGCGAAGGCGGCUCACUGGCUCGAUACUGACGCUGAGGUGCGAAAGCGUGGGGAGCAAACAGG